rnacentral:rRNA from 1 species
UAAGUUGUGUGGCGUAGACCCGAAACCGGGUGACCUAUCCAUGUGCAGGGUGAAGCUGAAGUAAAAUUUAGUGGAGGCCCGAACCCAUAUCUGUUGAAAAAGGUUGGGAUGACAUGUGGAUAGCGGAGAAAUUCCAAUCGAACCCGGAGAUAGCUGGUUCUCCUCGAAAUAGCUUUAGGGCUAGCCUUGAGGUAAAGAGAUACGGGGGUAGAGCACUGAAUGACCUAGGGGCUUUCACCGGCUACCGAAGUCUAUCAAACUCCGAAUACCGAUAUCUUAUACUCAGGAGUCAGACUGUGUGUGAUAAGAUUCAUAGUCAAAAGGGAAACAGCCCAGACCAUCAGCUAAGGUCCCAAAAUAUAAGUUAAGUGGAAAAGGAUGUGGGAUUGCCCAGACAACUAGGAUGUUGGCUUAGAAGCAGCCAUACAUUUAAAGAGUGCGUAAUAGCUCACUAGUCGAGUGAUCCUGCGCCGAAGAUUACCGGGGCUCAAACUUAUUACCGAAGCUAUGGAAUUAGAGUAAUCUAAUUGGUAGAGGAGCAUUGUAUACGGGGCGAAGCACGAUCGUAAGGACGUGUGGACUGUAUAGAAGAGAGAAUGUUGGCAUGAGUAACGAGAGACGGGUGAGAAUCCCGUCCGCCGAAAACCCAAGGUUUCCUGAGGAAGGUUCGUCCGCUCAGGGUAAGUCAGGGCCUAAGCCGAGGACGAAAGUCGUAGGCGAUGGACAACAGGUAAAGAUUCCUGUACCACCGAGAACCGUUUGAGAGAGGGAAUGACACAGGAGGUUAUGCUAAGCGCGUGAUUGGUUGAACGCGUCCAAGCAACGAGUCUGAGAGGUAGGCAAAUCCGCCUCUU